GGCUCCACAGGUGAAUUCAGUUUGUAAAAAUGUAUCAAUCUGUGUACUUAUGAUUUGUGCAUUUUUUUCUAACACUAUGUUAUUCUUCAACAAAAAGUUUAAAAAAAAUUUUUUUUUUUUUUUUUUAGGAAUAUUUCCCCAACAUCCUAACCUCUCCUCAUGCUCUCAGGAUGCCACUGAACAGACCCAGGAGAGCUGCGCCCCCUCUCCGUGCGCGGAAAGAGUACUCCAGCCGAGCCGAGAAAUCCGUUACCAGGCUGCUGUGUCCCCAAGGGCCAUUCCAGGGCGGAAGAGGACGGGGAAAACCGCUGUGUCGAUUCCUCGGCCCUGUGGGCCGGGCGCGCAGCGGGUCGGGUUACAGACAGGUGAGUCUGGCGGAUGGGCGAGCUGCGGGCGCCAGGGAGCUCCUGGCGAGACGCGCCCCGGCAGCCCCCGAGCCCGCACGAGUCUGCUCACCCACAGGAGGGGUGCGCCCACCGCAGCGGUGGAGGCAGUGCUGCGCGUCCCCGGGCGCACCCGAGCAGGGGCCGUGAGAGGGACAGCGCGCGCCCCAAACGCCGGCACUGCUGGUCUUAGAAACUUGGCAUCUUUCUCUUACCAACUCCUCUUCCUUCUCUCCCAACUCCCCCCUCCGCGAAUAAAGCCCGAGAGGAAAAACCAAAACCAAAAAUAAAUACAAAGCUCUCCAGCCAUCUCCCCAGUAGCAGCCCGUCUUCGUUUACUGGGAAAGGUAUUUCCCAGCCUCUGAUUUCGGGGAGCGGGCAGUUAGGCGAAGACUGUAAUGGGAGUGGGCAAGGAUAAGAGAUUUGUUUCGGAGCUGCGUUUGCAUAACAGGCGCUCGGCUUUUGUUUCCAUUGUGUGUUUAUUUGGGUUGAUGAGGCUCUUGGGGUGGUAGGUCUUGGGAUGGAAGCUGCUUUAGCAGAGCAAGCCGACUUGUUUUCCCCAGAUUGUGUGGCACAGAUCAGUAAUAACGACGUGUUCUAAAGCUGCCGAGCUUUAAGUCAUAUUAUUACUGUGCUUAUUUGGGGGGGCUGUUGUAAAUGAUGGGGAUCUUGAGUCCCCAAGUCGCCCUCUUUACCAGAACAGAGCCCUGGGUAAUCUCCCUGCCGCCUCCCCCUUCCGCCCGCCGGGAUUUCAACUAGCCGCGGAAACCAUCCACAAAGUCCGGAGGAACUGAGCCAUUUUCUUGCUUGCUUGUCGGAGACAAAUCCACCCGGGGGCGGGGGAUGGUGGUGGUGCGUGCAACUCGCAGGAAGCUCCUGCUCUUAGGAUGGACGCCCCGGGAAGCGGACCUGGGGGUUAACCUCUCAGAGUUUGCCCUGAGGUGCUCGUGAUGGGGAAUGGGGCAAGAGGCUGAUCAAAAAACGUUCUUCCCUUUUUAAAAAGGGGAGGGGGGGAAGAAUCAGACGUUAAAUUCUUUUGCAAACAUUCAUGCCUAAGGAAGGGCUGGAACAGGCAGCCCCGGCCGCCGGAACCGGUCGGACAGGUAGCGAGCUUGUUGACACCGUUAUGUUGCAGGGCGCAUGCUCACUCCCAAGUUUCCUGGUGUCUCUUCUAUUCCACCUUAUGAAACUUUUUCCCCGGCGUGGUCUCACCCGCGAUUUAAGGCAUAGGUGUCGCCGAGCCCGGAGGCUGGGAGUCGCCGGGCGUGCGGGGGAGAGGCCUGGGCCGCG
ensembl:lncRNA